rnacentral:rRNA from 1 species
AUUGAACGCUGGCGGCAUGCCUUACACAUGCAAGUCGAACGGCAGCAUGAUCUAGCUUGCUAGAUUGACGGCGAGUGGCGAACGGGUGAGUAAUACAUCGGAACGUGACCUGUAGUGGGGGAUAACUAGUCGAAAGAUUAGCUAAUACCGCAUACGACCUGAGGGUGAAAGUGGGGGACCGCAAGGCCCCAUGCUGUAGGAGCGGCCGAUGUCUGAUUAGCUAGUUGGUGAGGUAAAGGCUCGCCAAGGCGACGAUCAGUAGCUGGUCUGAGAGGACGAUCAGCCACACUGGGACUGAGACACGGCCCAGACCCCUACGGGAGGCAGCAGUGGGGAAUUUUGGACAAUGGGCGAAAGCCUGAUCCAGCCAUGCCGCGUGUGUGAAGAAGGCCUUCGGGUUGUAAAGCACUUUUGUCCGGAAAGAAAUGGCUCUGGUUAAUACCUGGGGUCGAUGACGGUACCGGAAGAAUAAGGACCGGCUAACUACGUG